rnacentral:rRNA from 1 species
GACGAACGCUGGCGGCGUGCCUAAUACAUGCAAGUCGAGCGGAAGUUGGAGAGCUUGCUCUUCAACUUUAGCGGCGGACGGGUGAGUAACACGUGGGCAACCUGCCCUGCAGAUCGGGAUAACUCCGGGAAACCGGUGCUAAUACCGAAUAGUUUUCGCCACCUCCUGGUGGCGUACGGAAAGACGGUUUCGGCUGUCACUGCAGGAUGGGCCCGCGGCGCAUUAGCUAGUUGGUGGGGUAACGGCCCACCAAGGCAACGAUGCGUAGCCGACCUGAGAGGGUGAUCGGCCACACUGGGACUGAGACACGGCCCAGACUCCUACGGGAGGCAGCAGUAGGGAAUCUUCCGCAAUGGACGAAAGUCUGACGGAGCAACGCCGCGUGAGUGACGAAGGUUUUCGGAUCGUAAAACUCUGUUGUGAGGGAAGAACAAGUACCAACUAACUACUGGUACCUUGACGGUACCUCACCAGAAAGCCACGGCUAACUACGUGCCAGCCGCCGCGGUAACAC